rnacentral:rRNA from 1 species
GACGAACGCUGGCGGCGUGCCUAAUACAUGCAAGUCGAACGAGAGCGACCGGUGCUUGCACUGGUCAAUCUAGUGGCGAACGGGUGAGUAACACGUGGGUAACCUGCCCAUCAGAGGGGGAUAACAUCCGGAAACGGAUGCUAAAACCGCAUAGGUCUUCGAACCGCAUGGUUUGAAGAGGAAAAGAGGCGCAAGCUUCUGCUGAUGGAUGGACCCGCGGUGCAUUAGCUAGUUGGUGAGGUAACGGCUCACCAAGGCCGUGAUGCAUAGCCGACCUGAGAGGGUGGUCGCCCACAUUGGGACUGAGACACGGCCCAGACUCCUACGGGAGGCAGCAGUGGGGAAUCUUCCGCAAUGGACGAAAGUCUGACGGAGCAACGCCGCGUGAGCGAUGACGGCCUUCGGGUUGUAAAGCUCUGUUAAUCGGGACGAAAGGCCUUCUUGCGAAUAGUGAGAAGGAUUGACGGUACCGGAAUAGAAAGCCACGGCUAACUACGUG